ACGUCACGUAUUUGUAAGUCGCUCUGGAUAAGAACGUCUGCUAAAUGACGUAAA
rfam:Salmo salar isolate Sally breed double haploid chromosome ssa09, whole genome shotgun sequence.